rnacentral:rRNA from 1 species
UACAGAGGUCUCAAGCGUUGUUCGGAUUCAUUGGGCGUAAAGGGUGCGUAGGCGGCGCGGUAAGUCGGGUGUGAAAUCUCGGAGCUUAACUCCGAAACUGCAUUCGAUACUGCCGUGCUUGAGGACUGGAGAGGAGACUGGAAUUUACGGUGUAGCGGUGAAAUGCGUAGAUAUCGUAAGGAAGACCAGUGGCGAAGGCGGGUCUCUGGACAGUUCCUGACGAUGAGGCACGAAGGUCAGGGGAGCAAACGGG